GCAUGGAAGAAACGCUGGUUCGUCCUGCGCAGCGGUCGGAUGAGCGGCGACCCCGACGUCCUGGAGUACUACAAAAAUGACCACUCCAAGAAACCUUUGCGUGUGAUCAACCUCAAUUUCUGUGAGCAAGUGGACGCAGGCCUGACCUUCAACAAGAAGGAGCUGCAAGACAGCUACAUCUUCGACAUCAAGACCAGUGACAGGACCUUCUACCUGGUGGCGGAGACCGAGGACGACAUGAACAAGUGGGUUCGCAGCAUCUGCCAGAUCUGUGGCUUCAACCAGUCCGAGGAGAACACAG